UACGUAGGUGGCAAGCGUUGGCCGGAUUUACUGGGCGUAAAGAGCGCGCAGGCGGUCGUUCAAGGCGCGUGGGAAAGCCCCCGGCUCAACUGGGGAGGGUCACGCGAUACUGAUCGACUCGAAGGCAGGAGAGGGUAGUGGAAUUCCCGGUGUAGUGGUGAAAUGCGUAGAUAUCGGGAGGAACACCAGUGGCGAAGGCGACUACCUGGCCUGUUCUUGACGCUGAGGCGCGAAAGCUAGGGGAGCAAACGGG
rnacentral:rRNA from 1 species